rnacentral:rRNA from 1 species
CCAGACUCCUACGGGAGGCAGCAGUGAGGAAUAUUGGUCAAUGGGCGCAAGCCUGAACCAGCCAAGUAGCGUGCAGGAAGACGGCCCUAUGGGUUGUAAACUGCUUUUAUACGAGAAUAAUUUGAUGCACGUGUGCGUUAUUGCAUGUAUCGUAUGAAUAAGGACCGGCUAAUUCCGUGCCAGCAGCCGCGGUAAUACGGAAGGUCCAGGCGUUAUCCGGAUUUAUUGGGUUUAAAGGGAGUGUAGGCGGUUUGUUAAGCGUGUUGUGAAAUUUAGAUGCUCAACAUUUAACUUGCAGCGCGAACUGUCAGACUUGAGUACACGCAACGUAUGCGGAAUUCAUGGUGUAGCGGUGAAAUGCUUAGAUAUCAUGAAGAACUCCGAUUGCGAAGGCAGCAUACGGGAGUGUAACUGACGCUUAAGCUCGAAGGUGCGGGUAUCGAACAGGAUUAGAUACCCUGGUAGUCCGCACAGUAAACGAUGGAUGCCCGCUGUUAGCGCCUGGCGUUAGCGGCUAAGCGAAAGCAUUAAGCAUCCCACCUGGGGAGUACGCACGCAAGUGUGAAACUCAAAGGAAUUGACGGGGGCCCGCACAAG